rnacentral:lncRNA from 1 species
GUUUAAUUUCCAUCACCAACUGGACUAGAUGUAUCUUCAUCCAGGAGACAAGCCUCUCGAAGCCCAUGAGACUUAGCUGAGGAAAGAAGAGCCAUCCUGAAUGGGUCAGCACAGUCUCAAAGGCUACGGUCCCAGACUAAAUAAAGGGGAUAUGGGGUGGGGGUGGGGCAUGAGAAAUUGAGCUGAGCUCCAGCCUUCAUCUCUCUAGGCUUCCUGCUGUGCACACAGUGUGAAGAGCCACCUCAUGCUUCUAUGGACAUUUCCAAGGUCCCCCAAUUCACUGCUGGCCAUAGCUCAAGAUCUGUCCAAAACUCUACAGACCACUUCUAGGCUUCAGAAAGGAUGGAGGAGGAAACAUGGAGAGACAGAGCAGCUGGCCAGAAUCUGGAGGUCAUGGAAGGGAGUGGUUGACUCAAACCCUAAGCUGUGGCUUCUGUGGGACUGGCAGCUCAUCUUCUUGGUCUUCAGCACAUAGUAAUCCAGG